UAAACCGGCAGUUGACAUUUAGCUUAGAUGCUUGAAGUUGAAGAGAAGGCGGGAACAAAAAUGGCAGUUACAACACGUUAGAUAAUGGAAUAGACUACGAUAUGUUGAAACGAAUGAAACAGCUAGAACAGGAACGAGAUGUGUUGUACCAGGGUUUGGAAGCUGUUGAGCGUGCACGAGACUGGUACCGGCAAGAAAUCGAGUGUGUCCUGAAGAAAAUGCCAUACUUCAGUCAAACUGGCGCGAUAUUUGAGUAUUCCACUGAUGCUUACCAAGAAAGGCAAAAUUUCCAAAUGAGUAGAAUAUUUGAAGUAAACCAACAUAUUGCAGCACUUACUGAGAGCACCGAAAAGGUUUUUUUAUGAGUAGAAAGAAUUUCCUUCGCAUAUGCACCUUACUCUUUGUCAGCCUGCAACAUUCAGUAGAAUGCAGCGAGAUUCAACACAAUCAACAAUCAAAAAAUUGAAAGAACAAAACAAAAUGCUAACACAGGAGGUGAGUAAAAAAUCUGAAUACAUUACACGACUAGAACGGGAAAAAUCAUCUCUCAUUAGAGAACUGUUUCAAGCAAAGACUCAACAUCACCAAGAAGUAGACUAUACUGCUUUUAUAUGACCUGUGGGCUUUGUAUCCAUCUUUACUCCGUUAUCUCGUGUCUAAGUGCCAUGCUCUUUGCAGUUUGUUUAAUCAUUAAGGAAUGAAAUUAUUUUUCAUUGCUAUAAAUGUAAUGGGCUGCAAUGUGUGAAAAAAAAAUGUUAGAUGAAUAUGCAAUUAAAUCUUUAUAUCAUUUAUAGAAAUUGUUCACUUUCAAAACAUUUAAACUGCUUUUAUAACUAUAAAAUACUGUUUUCUACCUGACCUAAACACAAAGCAAAACAUUUAUUAAAAUUUGUGAUAAUUCUUUACUGUUUAUUACAUUGUAAUAAAAAGUAUAAUCCCUCAGUGGUAAGUUUGAAGAGUUUAAAAGAUGAGUAAAAGUCAGGUUUUGGUACCUGUGAUGGACAGAGCACAGAUUACCCAAUUGUGUAGCUUUGUGCUUAACAAAAAACUAUUUUCAUUAUAACUGUUUUAAGAAAAUUCUAAUUAUCACGUAACAUAAGAAUUUAUUAAUAAUAUAUAACUUAGUCAUAGUGUUUUAAACUUUUUCUGAGUAUUGUAACAAAGGGUGUUUUUUAAUUUCCUCUCUUUGAAUAAUUUCAAUUUUUAAGGCAUCUGAAUACAAAAGUUCUAUUGUUAGUAUAGACAUGAUGUUAGAAAAACACAUAGGUUCAAGAAGUCUUGACAGAAAUGAAUGAAACCCUAUAACCCGAGCACUUUUGAAAGGUGGAUCUUUCUUCUUUAGUUUCCCAUUUGCCCCUGAAGAAGAAAGGUCCACCUUUUGAAAGCACUCGCACUAUAGGGUUUUUAUUCAUUUCAAUCAUUAGUAUAGAGGUAUUAUCAUUGAGACCUUAGUUGUCUUUUGCACUAGUUUUUAAACUUUUUAUUUGAAUGCUAAUAUUAAUAUAUUUUUCUAAGUAUUAAUUGGCUGUUUGUUAGAUUAAAAAAUCAUGUUUAUUUUUAAAUUUUAAUAUAUAAAUUCACAGGGAAAUGCUGAAAGUUAUUGUUGAAAAUGAAAAAAAAGUUUUCUGAAACUGUUCAUUUCUGAUGGGUUUUUUUAUUGGAGAAGUUUUACAAAAAAAUAAGAAAUUUUACAUUUAAAGCAUUCUGAUUAGAUAAUAUUUGAUCAUUUCUGUUUCAUGUACUGGUAAUAAGUUUAGUCAUGGAUUCGGGAUUGUUUUUGCUGGCUCUUUAUGUUAAAUGUAUACAAUGUUUUUUGAGCAAGCUUUAUCACUUUUAUAUAUGUAUUUACACAAUUCUGGUGUUAUAUUUUGAUUCUAAUGAACUCUGCAAUUAAACUUAUCACCUAAGUUAAUAAUGAUUACAAUGAGAGAGCUCUCUUCAUAUUAACUUGUUAUUGUUUGUGUCGUGUUUGUUUCUGACUUAAACAUAAGUAUGUGACUUUAAAGCUUUUUGUAGUAUAGUUUAGAUAUCAUGGUAAUUGGAAGGGUUGAAUAUAAAAAAAAAUAUGAAACUUAUUUUGUUGUUACUAAUUUCAUGCCUCUCUAGUGCCAUUAUUUUUAAAUAUAUUUUUUAUAAAAGUCUUUUAUUUAUAUAUAUAUUUGGUUAUUGCUAUUUGGAUGAGUUUGUACAAAACUAAAUGUAAGUUGAAGUAACUGUUAUAUGGAAUAAAGUUAAAAGAGAAAGAAAGUGGAUGCACUUGGUAUUUCUAAACAUUGUAAAACUUGUAGAAAAAAUAUUUUUUGGAAAAUCACUGCUGUUAAAUUUAGUUUAUUUUUUGGUGGUUUUAAAGUAUAAGAGAUCCUUUUGGAGAAAAUCCUUAUUUGAGUUCACAGUAAUACAAACAAGCAAAUACAGGGAAUUUUAUGUGAUUGGCUUUUAUAAAAUUUGUGUCAUGUUUAACUCGUAAAGAAUGACACAAAUAAUAUGUACAAAACUGAUGUAGGUGAUAAUCUACCCUACAUUAUGUUCAAGCUUGAGCAUCACUCAGUGAAACAUUUCCUUAAAAAAUCAUAAAAUUGUAUUUUUCUCUCAGUUUUUACAUUGUGAAAUUUCCAAAGUUUUGUUGUGACACUUUUUUGAAAGAACGUUAAAAACUUUCUUUUCAUCUUAGAAUAUAAAUUAUUUCUUAUUGGUCAGCAAGUUUCAUAUAUGUAAUUAGUUUCAACUUGAUUGAUAUUAAUUAAAACAUUUCAUAUGAUACUUUAUUUUACCAAUUGCAGUAGUCACCAUCAUAAACAAUACGUAGAAAAUUGACAAAGAUUUAUUGGUGACCUAUGACUAUUAUCAGAUCUGGAAUUUGUUCCUAAAUCUUGUAAACUUCCCAUUAAAUACUAAUGUUCUUCUCUGCAGGAAUUUCAUCUAAUCACUUUCCCAAGAAACCACAAAUUAUUUCUCAUACCACUUUAAUCACUGUAAAUUCAGCUAACUAACUUCUAAUCGGCUCUGUCCUUAGUAUUUAAACUUUGCCUGUAGCUAUUUUCCGAGCUGAUCUUCAUUAUUAGUUGUUUAUUGCACAUGCUGUGACAUCGUAAAUGGGUGCAACCAAAUAGAUCUACUAAUAAAAUCACAAACAGAAGGAAAAUCAUCUGAGAAACAAAACCUUGAGAAUUCUCAUAGGAUGGUAGUUUCUUAGCAAAUAUAAACCUAUUUUUUGGGAUAAGCAUACAAGUUCUGUAUUGCCCUUGAAACUACUUCCACUAUCAUAAAUCCUGCUCAGUAUGAUGGUCAUAGUUAUGCAAUGUUACAUAACACCACAUUUUUUCACUGUAACAAGCUGCUGUUUUAGGCCAAACAUUUUUCAUAUACCUUCCAAUAUAUUUUGACAGUGACUUCUAAGACUGUUUUUAAACAGAUUGAAAACUCAAAUAUCCAUUGGCCCUGCUUCAAGGGCUUUGAUGGUUAAAUGGGAUUGCUGUGAUUUAAUUUUUUUUUAAUUUUUUCAUUGAAAACAGUUGUUGAUUACUGUAGCUGGUAGCUUGUGGUCAUUUGUAAUUUUCAAUGACUUUUGCAUUGGAGGGUUCUCUUUUGUAAUAAACAUAGCCCCCACUUUGCAUAUGAGAGCAUAGUUUUGGAUUGUGGUUUCAGGGUUCUCAGUGCUGUUCUUCAAUGGAGGACAUUGAAGGCUCCUUUUUAAAAAUAUAAGGGCUCUACAUCAGUUUUCAAUCUUUUUUCUAUAUAAAUAUCCUUUCUUAGAAAUGGUGUGACAUAUCUCAAAGCUAUGGUAGCAUUCCACUGUUGAGUGGUCAAGAAUUUGCUGUGAAUCAAAUAUAUAAGUGUGAAGUAUGGUACCUGAUUCACAAUUUUUAGGAACAAACUAUUGCAUUAGCAUAUGGCAAUGGUUCCCAUGUAGUGUGAUUAAUCCUCUUUAUAUCAAAUGUUCGUUCUUGUAAUUAGUAAAAGAUUAUUAUUACAAUUGAAAUCUCUAAUAUUCUGGUAGCCUUGUUUCAUUGUUAUUUUUCUGUUAUGAAAACAUACAGAAAAUAAUGAAUACAUGUAGGAACAUUUGAAACAAGAUUGUGUAACUAGUUGAAUAUUAUAUUUUUUUUCAUUAGUAAAAACAGUAGAGUGUUGUGGCUAUGAAUUCCUGCUGUAACUAAGUCAAUUGUUUGGCUUUCUACUCAGAAUACCUACUGCACAAAUAUUACAAGUAUCAUUUUUGUCUUCACUUGGUAUAACGAGUACAUUAUUUCAAAGGAGAUAAUUGAAGACGUUUGAAAGUUGUGAAGAAUGUAACAUAAUUUAUUUGGUUUUUAAUGUACAAAACUAAUCUUUGUAUGUAACUUAUUUUACAUUGUCUUUCAAAAGGUUUUAAUUGAAACAGUGACUAAUUUAGAAAACUGUCUCACGUUACUAACAGAUCCAUUGUUGAACUUAAAAUUUUUUGGGGGGAAUUUUUGUAUGAAGGAUCAUCAGUGUCAUUUAACCAGAAUUGUAGAAAUGUAUUUCUUUCAAAUUAUUUUAAGUGCCUUUGCUUUCAUAGUUUGAUUAUUUAAUUAUAGUGAUAAUUUUAUUGAAUUUAUCACCUACA
rnacentral:misc_RNA from 1 species